rnacentral:ncRNA from 1 species
AAUAAAUUUAAUUGUAGUUUAUAAAAUAAUUAUAUUAAUUAUAUAUAUAUAUAUGUUUUUAAAUAAAAAAUUAAAUAUAAUUUUUAAUAUAUAAAUCUGAAACAAUUAAUGAAAAUUAAAUUCGGGAAUUAAUUUUAUUAGAGAUAAAAUUAGUGCCAGCAAUAGCGGUUAAACUAAAUUCUAUAAUUUAUUUAUUUUUAAUUUUAAAUAAAUUUUAAAUUAAUAUAUUUAAUUAAAUGGUUAAAUUUAUGAUGAAAUAUAACAAUUUAUUUUAAUAAUUAAAUUUAAUAAUUAAAUUUAUUUACAAAUUUUAUUUUUAAACUAGGAUUAGAUACCCUAUUAUUAAAAUUAGAAUAUAAAUUAAUAAUUAAAUGUAAAUCAUUAAAAUUAAAUAAUUUGGCGGCUUAAAAUCUAAUUAGGGAAACUUGUUUAUUAAUUUGAUAAUCCACGUUAAGAUGAACUUAAAUUGAAUUUAUGUAUUGUUGUUUUAAAAUUAUAUAUAUAUAUAUAUAUUUUAAUAUUUAAUUUAAUAGUAAUUCAAAUCAAAAUGUAGUAUAUUUAAGAUAAAAUGAGUUACAAUAAAAUUAAUUUUUGAAUAAUUAAUUUUAAAAUUAAUUAGAAAAAGAAUUUGAUAGUAAAUUUAAUUUAAAUUAAUUAAAUUGAAUUCUAAUUUUUAAGUGUACAAAUUGCCCGUCAAUUUCAUUAUAAAUGAAGUAAGUCGUAACAUAGUAAGAGUACUGGAAAGUGUUCUUAGACUUAA